rnacentral:rRNA from 1 species
GACGAACGCUGGCGGCGUGCUUAACACAUGCAAGUCGAACGGUGAAGCGCCUUCCUUUUUGGUGGGUGUGGAUGAGUGGCGAACGGGUGAGUAACACGUGAGUAACCUGCCCCCUUCUUCUGGAUAACCGCAUGAAAGUGUGGCUAAUACGGGAUAUUCUGGGUCUGUCGCAUGAUGGGUCUGGGAAAGAUAUUGUUUCGGUGGGGGAUGGGCUCGCGGCCUAUCAGCUUGUUGGUGGGGUGAUGGCCUACCAAGGCGGUGACGGGUAGCCGGCCUGAGAGGGUGGACGGUCACACUGGGACGGAGACACGGCCCAGACUCCGACGGGAGGCAGCAGGGGGGAAUAGUGCACAAUGGGCGCAAGCCUGAUGCAGCGACGCCGCGUGAGGGAUGGAGGCCUUCGGGUUGUGAACCUCUUUCGCCAGUGAAGCAGGCCUGCCUCGUUUGUGGGUGGGUUGACGGUAGCUGGAGAAGAAGCGCCGGCUAACUACGUG